UGAUUUAACUCGGGUUAUCAAGGAACGUCAGGGUUGACAGACGUCGGCUGCCUCGAUCUGCGUUAACUACGGCGACGGUGAAGAUGUCAGUGUCUCCACUUCGUCCACGAUCAGAGAAUCUUUGAACAAUGAAGGAAUUGUUUAGACCAGGACAGAGGCCUCCAGAAUUCAAACUUCAACCAUUAAAUCACAGAGAGAAGAGACAGACAUAAAGAUGUUUCCAGAAGGUCUCUGAAACGCCACCAGUGCUGUCGCAUAUCCCAUAACGCCAGGGAGUCAAGAGCGCUUGGGCAGGCGUUCACACUUUGUCUGCUUCAGAAUCACUUCUGUCUCCGACUGACCCUCCUCCCACUGAAAUCAACCCGACUCAACUCUACUGUGACAUUGAGUAUUUUUAACUGUUUUCCAUGCUUUACUAGUUUAUGACAGUAUUUAAGUGUUUAUGAUUGUUUGUUAUGCUUUACUGUAUUAUGACAUUUUUGAAUGUUGUUCAUGCCUUGAGUGUUUUUGACAGUUUUCCAUGUUUUACUGUUUGCCUUGUUGUACUGACAUUUUUGACUGUUGUUCACUGUUUUGUAUGUGUUUUUAUUGUGUGACAAUAAAUUGUGUGUGUGUAUUGUGUUUCCUGUUAGGAAGAGAUAGCAGAGGAAUGAGAGUAAAGGGAUGGGACACGCUUUGGCCCAGCCCUUUACUCAGAUAGGACAGUGUAGAUGAGCAUGGGAAUAACAUGCAAUAAACACUUAGCUGAACUGGGGCACAUGAGCCUAUAUGGGUGCCCCAUUUUUUAAAAAAAAUUUUUUCUGUUUUUUUUCCAUUGACAUUUUUUUUAUUUUUCCAUUCAAAUUUUUGAGAUUUUCAUUUUUUCAAUGUAACACUUAAGAAUAAAAUUUUUCCUCCAAAA